AUCUUUCUGUAGUUCAUAAGUGUGAUGAUUGGAUUUUCACGUGACUAUGUGAAAUGUACCAUCCAUAAACCGUGUUACAACAUCUGCACAUUACCAGUCUGACA
ensembl:snoRNA